rnacentral:rRNA from 1 species
AUGGCAGGUGAAGCGAUCACAGCGAUGUCCGCUGAGGCGAAGCGAGCGGAAUUCGAGUCUGGCACGGCGGCCGACCCGGGGAACGGCGAGCUGUGGCGCCGCUUCGUCAGGUUCGAGCUGGAGGAGGGCGGCGGAAUCGAGGCCGCUCGUGCCGUCUACGAGCGACUUCUCGCCGCAAUUCCCGAUGGAGAGACUUACAUGUGGGACUGGUUCUGGAGGGAGCGAUGGGCGCGGUGGGCGCAGGCCCAAGGAGGCGGCUUCCUCAGGUCCAAGUCAGGCUGGAGUACUUACUUGAAGUUCGAGAUCAACAACGGCGGCGGGGUGGAGCGCGUCCGGGGCGUCGGCGAGGCGCUCCUCGCGACCUUUUCCAUGGAUCCACAUGCGUACGCGAUCUACAUCAGCCAUCAGGGCUCUAGCCGCUCUGUCCCGGCACGUUGA